UUGUAAGCUCUUUUGUAGGGGAAGAUAAUGACUGUACCCUAAGAAUACGGUCCGGCUAUCUUCGUGCCAGCAGCCGCGGUAAUACGAAGGGACCUAGCGUAGUUCGGAAUUACUGGGCGUAAAGCGCGCGUAGGCCGUUGAGUUAGUUAAUUGUGAAAUCCCAAAGCUUAACUUUGGAACUGCAAUUAAAACUGCUCGACUAGAGUUUGAUAGAGGAAAGCGGAAUACAUAGUGUAGAGGUGAAAUUCGUAGAUAUUAUGUAGAACACCAGUUGCGAAGGCGGCUUUCUGGGUCAACACUGACGCUGAGGCGCGAAAGUAUGGGUAGCAAAGAGGAUUAGAUACCCUCGUAGUCCAUACCAUAAACGAUGAUUGCUAGAUGUUGGAAAUUUAUUUUCAGUAUCGCAGCUAACGCAUUAAGCAAUCCGCCUGAGGAGUACGACCGCAAGGUUAACACUCAGAUGAAUUGACGGGGACCCGUACAAGCGGUGGAGCAUGUGGUUUAAUUCGAAGAU
rnacentral:rRNA from 1 species